rnacentral:pre_miRNA from 1 species
AAUAACUCCAGUUGUCCAGUGUUUGAUUUGUAAAACAGUUUCAGGAAGAGGACAAACUGGAGGCAAGGGACAGGACAA